CAGCAGUGACCCUGUGUUACACUCCACACACUCACCAGCAGUGACCUACUGAGAACACUCCACCCCCUGAUGGGGACACGCCCCCUGUCAUGACAUCAUCAUGGUGGGGGCAGGACUCUCGAGGGGAGACGUGCUGGUCAGUCUCUGCUGUAGGGAACAGGUGGUCAGUCCAGUCGGCUGUCCAGAUGGUUCUGUCUUUUGAUUUCACCUAGCUGAACUAGAAAAGGCUAAACUCAGGCUCAUAACUGAGCUCCUUAGGUGGUUUCCCAGUAGCGUUAGUGGUCUUGACAGGCAGCUCUGAGCUUGAUAGCCGAUACAUGUAUUACCCCAGUACUGGACACCACAGGAACACCGGUCAGCUCAGAUACUCGACACAGCUGGGGCUGAUGCUGACCAGCACACACUUCCACAGGAAGAAGCAUUAACAGAUAAUUCCCCUCCGGUGUGUGUGACAACAGGAGAUACAGGAGUCCUCAGGUGUGUGUGUGUAUGUGUGUGUGACAACAGGAGAGACAGGAGUCCUCAGGUGUGUGUGUGUGUGACAACAGGAGAGACAGGAGUCCUCAGGUGUGUGUGUGUGUGUGACAACAGGAGGGACAGGUGUCCUCAGGUGUGUGUGUGACUGUGUGUGUGACAACAGGAGAGACAGGUGUCCUCAGGUGUGUGUGUGACAUCAGGAGAGACAGGUGUCCUCAGGUGUGUGUUUGACAACAGGAGAGACAGGUGUCAUCAGGUGUGUGUGUGUGACAACAGGAGAGACAGGAGUCCUCAGGUGUGUGUGUGUGACAACAGGAGAGACAGGAGUCCUCAGGUGUGUGUGUGUGUGACAGACAGGAGUCCUCAAGGGUGUGUGUGAGACCAGUUCUUCUGCACAGGUACAUUUAAACACUAAAACACAUUUGUCACACCAACAACAGGCCUGUGCUCAAAAUAACGUGGCCCUUGUGUGCUUCUGAGAUCCAGCCCUGUGGUUUGGGGGGGAUUGAGAAGAGUAAAAACAACACUAUUAUCUUAAUGAGAACUGAGACCACUGAUAUGGAGAUGAACGU
rnacentral:lncRNA from 1 species